GACGAACGCUGGCGGCGUGCUUAACACAUGCAAGUCGAAGAUAGUGGCGCACGGGUGAGUAAUACGUAGUAACCUGCCCUCCUUUUUGGGAUAAGCCUUUGAAACGGGGUCUAAUACCGAAUACAAGGGGAUGGGCCCGGGGGCUAUCAGCUUGUGGGUGGGGUAAUGGCCUACCAAGGCGGGGACGGGUAGCGGGCCUGAGAGGUUGACCGGCCACAUGGGGACUGAGAGACGGCCCAGACUCCUACGGGAGGCAGCAGUGGGGAAUAUUGCACAAUGGGCGAAAGCCUGAUCCAGCCAUGCCGCGUGUGUGAAGAAGGUCUUCGGAUUGUAAAGCACUUUAAGUUGGGAGGCGUUACCAACAGAAUAAGCACCGGCUAACUUCGUGCCAGCAGCCGCGGUAAUAC
rnacentral:rRNA from 1 species